rnacentral:rRNA from 1 species
GACGUAGGGCGCGAGCGUUGUCCGGAUUUAUUGGGCGUAAAGAGCUCGUAGGCGGCUUGUCGCGUCGUCUGUGAAAACCCGCGGCUCAACGGCGGGCUUGCAGUCGAUACGGGCAGGCUGGGAGUUGCGGUAGGGGAGACUGGAAUUCCGUGGUGUAGCGGUGAAAUGCGCAGAUAUCCGGAGGAACACCAGCGGCGAAGGCGGCUUUCUGGUCCCGAUUCUGACGCUGAGGCGCCGAAAGCGUGGGGGAGCGAUCCGG